CACGGAGAUAGCUGGUUCUCCCCGAAAUAGCUUUAGGGCUAGCCUUAACAAAGAGCUACCCGGAGGUAGAGCACUGAAUGGGCUAGGGGGCUUAUAGCUUACCAAACCUAAUCAAACUCCGAAUGCCGUUACUCCAAGCUUAGCAGUCGGACUCCGGGAGAUGAGUUUCGGGGUCGAGAGGGAAACAGCCCAGAUCAACAGCUAAGGUCCCCAAAUUUGUACUAAGUGGGAAACGAUGUGAAGUUACUGAAACAACCAGGAGGUUUGCCUAGAAGCAGCCACCCUUUAAAAAGUGCGUAACAGCUUACUGGUCGAGUGAUUUUGCGCGGAAAAUUCAACGGGGCUAAGUACAAUACCGAAGCUUUGAACUUCCGCCUUCGGGCGGGAUUGGUAGGGGAGCGUUCUGCCAGCGGUGAAGGUCGAUCGAAAGGACGGCUGGAGCGGGCAGAAGUGAGAAUGCAGACAUGAGUAGCGUAAAACACGUGAGAACCGUGUUCGCCGUAUAUCUAAGGUUUCCGACGCCAGGUCAAUCCGCGUCGGGUUAGUCAGGACCUUAGCCGAGGCCGAGAGGCGUAGGCGAUGGACAGCCGGUCAACAUUCCGGCACCACUUAAGUAGAGUGAUGGAGGGACGCAACGAGGUAGGCCAGCCCACGAUUGGUUGUGUGGGUGAAUUGCAUGUCAGCCGUUGAGAUCUAUAGGAAAAUCCGUAGAUCGAGGUGAGAUGCCGUUACGAGCCUAUAAGGCGUAAGUGAGUUGAGCCUUGUUGCCGAGAAAAGCUUCUAAACGAUGAAACUUGAGUGCCUGUACCGCAAACCGACACUGGUAGAUGGGUAGAGUAUACCAAGGCGAACGGGAGAACCCUUGUUAAGGAACUAGGCAAUUUGACCUCGUAACUUCGGGAUAAGAGGUGCCCCUUGACGUGAAUGAAUAAUGAGCGUCGGGGGGUCGCAGUGAAAUGGUUCUAGGGACUGGUUACCAAAACCACAGGUCUCUGCAAAGUCGUAAGACGAUGUAUAGGGGCUGACACCUGCCCAGUGCCGGAAGGUUAAAGGGAGGGGUUAGGCGCAAGCCGAAGCUCUGAACUGAAGCCCCGGUGAACGGCGGCCGUAACUAUAACGGUCCUAAGGUAGCGAAAUUCCUUGUCGGGUAAGUUCCGACCCGCACGAAAGGUGUAACAACUAGAACAGUGUCUCAACAAGGGACCCGGCGAAAUUGAAAUGGCCGUGAAGAUGCGGCCUACCCGCAGUAGGACAAAAAGACCCCGUGGAGCUUUACUGCAGCUUGACAUUGAGUUAGGAUUUCAUUUGUGUAGGAUAGGUGGGAGGCUAUGAAGCUAGGGCGCCAGCCUUGGUGGAGCCAUCCGUGAAAUACCACCCUGAUGAAAUUUUGACCCUAACCCCAUACCGUUAUCCGGAUGGGGGACCGUGUCAGGUGGGCAGUUUGACUGGGGCGGUCACCUCCCAAAGAGUAACGGAGGUGCCCAAAGGUUCCCUCAGGCUGAAUGGAAACCAGCCUAAGAGUGUAAAGGCAUAAGGGAGCUUGACUGCAAGGCCAACGCGCCGAGCAGAUACGAAAGUAGGGCUUAGUGAUCCCACGGUUCCGAGUGGAAGGGCCGUGGCUCAUCGGAUAAAAGCUACCCCGGGGAUAACAGGCUAGUCAGGUCCAAGAGUUCAUAUCGACGACCUGGCUCGGCACCUCGAUGUCGGCUCAUCGCAUCCUGGGGCUGGAUAAGGUCCCAAGGGUCGGGCUGUUCGCCCGUUAAAGCGGUACGCGAGCUGGGUUCAGACCGUCGUGAGACAGGUCGGUCUCUAUCCACUGUGGGCGUAAGUGAUUUGAAAGGAUCUGUUCCUAGUACGAGAGGACCGGAAUGGACAGACCUCUGGUUUGCCAGCUGUCGUGCCAACGGCAUAGCUGGGUAGCUACGUCUGGCAAAGAUAACCGCUGAAAGCAUCUAAGUGGGAAACUUGCCUUAAGAUUAGAUCACUUUUAUCGUCAAGAUAGUAAGAUCGCAGGUAGACCACCUGCUUGAUAGGCAGUAUGUGUAAGUGCAGCAAUGCAUUGAGCUAAACUGUACUAAUGAUCGAGGGCUUCAAACGU
rnacentral:rRNA from 1 species